CAUUCUCAUUUCACUUUCGCACCGCUUCAUCGUCGAGAUUGUUCCCUUCUCUCUGUCUCAAUCAUCUUCUAUCUCAUUGAAAAAGGCAAUGUUGUUCGAUAUUUUGACAUGGAUUCUAAUAAAUGCAUAUCUCAAUCCGAUCCCAAAGUUUCAAUCUUUCUUGAAUCAUCAUGUCAUCACGGACGCGCCCCUCAUCCUCCAGAUCCAAGUUUCACACAAUUAUAAACAAGAUGACCCAGAUGUUUUGCAGAAUCACCUACAUAGGUUCUUCGAUGUGUUAUUCUCUACGUCAUCCUACACGACCUGUUUUUCCUUUCCUUUUUGUCGGACUGGGCAUGGCAAAUUGGCAAGCAAUCACUUCCUUACUCUCAGCCACAGGCAUUGAGGGCAUAAGACAGUUUUGUUAUCGUAGAAGUUACAAGGCGAUGCAGUUUAUGUGAUCAUGGCAUUUAAGAGAAGCUCUCCAAGAUUUGAGUUGUGAGAUCAAGUUGUUAACCAACAACUUUGAGCCGGUGUUUUUGUGCGAAACUCCCAGCGAAGGCAAUGAAGCUGAUUCUUUGGUUCAAAAUGUUGUUACGUUAGGCAACCUUCAUUUAAGUAGGGAGCUUGUCUUAGCUAAGAUAGAUUUUCUUGAAUAAUUUAUUCAUUCAUGAUGUUGUUAAUUAAGGUCUUGGAGGGAUUUCUAAUCAAACGAGUUUUAUCAUUAUUUUUCAUAUGAGACUUUUGUACUCCUGCAAGCUUCA